ACCGAAUAAGACCGAGUCUUACGUCAACAGACCAGUUUAGAAUGUGCCGGGCCGUUGUUAUGCAUACCAUAACAAAAAAGGCAGGAAUACUGAGGCAGCUACGACGUGGAUGUCUACAUCUUCUUUAAGAUGCAGGCCCCAAAGACGUCCCAGUGUGAUGCAAAGGCUGUCCAGCAGGCUCACAGACAUCUCCUGUCAACUGAAAGAGAAGCCUUUAAGAUAGUUGUCCAUUUCGACCACACUGUCUGCUUCCCAUUUCUUAGUGCCUGUACGAAAACAGUGACUUUUCCACCUCAAGUCUUUUAAGGAGUUUUAAAAACAGUUAUUUUAAUUUCUCUGAAUUGUGGUUCAGAAUUUCACAGAACCUAAUGCACUUGACUCUGUGUUUCAAAGAUCUUUGCAAAACCAUCAGUCUUUUGUACAAAACACAUUUAAUGGUCAAACAUUAAAAAAUGAAGCUUUACAAAA